rnacentral:rRNA from 1 species
UCCGUAGGUGAACCUGCGGAAGGAUCAUUAAAGAGUAAGGGUGCUCAGCGCCCGACCUCCAACCCUUUGUUGUUAAAACUACCUUGUUGCUUUGGCGGGACCGCUCGGUUCCGAGCCGCUGGGGAUUCGUCCCAGGCGAGUGCCCGCCAGAGUUAAACCAAACUCUUGUUAUUAAACCGGUCGUCUGAGUUAAAAUUUUGAAUAAAUCAAAACUUUCAACAACGGAUCUCUUGGUUCUCGCAUCGAUGAAGAACGCAGCGAAAUGCGAUAAGUAAUGUGAAUUGCAGAAUUCAGUGAAUCAUCGAAUCUUUGAACGCACAUUGCGCCCCUUGGUAUUCCGAGGGGCAUGCCUGUUCGAGCGUCAUUACACCACUCAAGCUAUGCUUGGUAUUGGGUGCCGUCCUUAGUUGGGCGCGCCUUAAAGACCUCGGCGAGGCCACUCCGGCUUUAGGCGUAGUAGAAUUUAUUCGAACGUCUGUCAAAGGAGAGGAACUCUGCCGAUUGAAACCUUUGUUUUUCUAGGUUGACCUCGGAUCAGGUAGGGAUACCCGCUGAACUUAAGCAUAUCAAUAAGCGGAGGA